UACGGGGGGAGCAAGCGUUGUUCGGAUUUACUGGGCGUAAAGGGCGCGUAGGCGGCGCAACAAGUCACUUGUGAAAUCUCCGGGCUUAACUCGGAAAGGUCAAGUGAUACUGUUGUGCUAGAGUGCGGAAGGGGCAACUGGAAUUCUCGGUGUAGCGGUGAAAUGCGUAGAUAUCGAGAGGAACACCUGCGGCGAAGGCGGGUUGCUGGGCCGGAACACGUGACGCUGGAUGCGCGAAAGCCCAGGGGAGCGAACGGGGAUU
rnacentral:rRNA from 1 species